rnacentral:rRNA from 1 species
UACGUAGGGUCCGAGCGUUGUCCGGAAUUAUUGGGCGUAAAGGGCUCGUAGGCGGUUUGUCGCGUCGGGAGUGAAAACUCAGGGCUCAACCCUGAGCGUGCUUCCGAUACGGGCAGACUAGAGGUAUGCAGGGGAGACUGGAAUUCCUGGUGUAGCGGUGAAAUGCGCAGAUAUCAGGAGGAACACCGGUGGCGAAGGCGGAUCUCUGGGCCAUUACUGACGCUGAGGCGCGAAAGCUAGGGGGAGCGAACAGG